GCUUUGGGCCUGGCUGGAGCACACUCACGGAACCACGCCAACGCCUGGCCUGUAGCCAGCUCCCACCUCCCCUCCCACCUUCUAAAAUGCUUGCGGAUCUCACGUGGCCGACCCUAACCAGAUACACAUGGGGAAAGGAAUCAGGUGGCACACAUACCGCCUUUACUCCAUAGAGAACUUCCAAUUGUGGGUAAGAACAAAGCCCCACCUCUUCCUAAUAGAUGCAGUUUUCCACCUGCAGCCAAAAAGACAACCUGUUAUUAGCUUUUUUCCCAGAGGACAGGCAUCUCUAUGAAACUGCCAUUGCAAAAUUUGCCGACAGUGAGAUAACCAGCUCCAUUUUGCUUCUAACCUCCAUGCCCUCCUUGUUUACUGCUGCACGCAGGUUGAACUGUGGGAGGAACUUAGUUUAAAACAAAGAUGAUAACAGCCCUUUCCCAAAGGAAACCUUUCCUGGGGAUUAGCCUGCUUUUGUGGGACCAACAGAUUAGCCACAAGAUUAGAAACUACGGUUGAAGAGUCACGCAGCGGGAGGCUACAGGAUUCUGACCCUCCCCAAACUGCUCCUGGCGAUAACAUCACCAUCGUAAAGCCUAAGAUCAGCACUUGGUGGGUCACCUGGCACCACCCAGGCUCAUCUGAUGUUGUGGCACCCAGGAACUGACUCAGUGCGAAAACAGCUUCGACUCCCUGUGAUUUCAUCUCUGACCUGACCAAUGGGUACUUCUGACUCACUGGCUGCCCCCCACCCACCAGCUUAUCUUUAAAAACUCCAAACCCCAGAUGCUCAGGGAGACCGAGUAAUAAUAAAACUCCAGUCUCCCACACAGCUAGCUCUGCGUGAAUUACCUUUUCUCUGUUGCAAAUGCCCUUUCUUGAUAAAUUGGCUGUCUAGGUAACAGGGAAGGUGAACCCACUGGGCAGUUACACUUUUAUCCACCCUUCCAGCUGGAUCACGCGCCCUCUUCAAUGACAUGACACGCAGCUAGAGUGUAUGAGCUUGCUGCCGGCACCUUCCGUCCUGGAUCGCAUAGCAAGGCCUCAAUGGACAGCCAGGUGCCUGGUCCGGUCCCACUUUUUUUUCUGUCCUGUUCUCGUUUCCUCUUUGCUUGGCCAAAGAGGGUUGGGCCAGGGUCCUGAGUGCAAAGGCUUGGCUUGGUGAAUUAAAGUGGCAGUAGCCGUGUGGCAGAGAAAAUUUGUAGAUGGGUGAAAUCCUGGGCCUACACAGUGACAAAGUGUAUAUAGACAGCCAGCCUAGUUGGUGGAUGUGACAACCCCAGACUCUUCUAGAUUUGUGGAUCCGUGCACCUGCCAGACCUGUCUCUGAGCCAUCUGGGGAGGCUGGGUCGGCACAGACGCAACCCAGUCUCCUCCCACCUCCGAGAGUGCAGUGUCCUGAAUGGAGAACCCCAGCACCCAGAAGCAUCCACUGAAGGACGUGUGUCCUGGAACCCUGGCUGCACCCACAGAUACAGCCACUCCUGGGCCCAUGUGGAUGUAACCUUCGAGUGCCGGAAUGCCUCGUCUCCAUGGAGACCAAACUCAAGGGCCUGACUGGCCCAGUCUACCGAGACCAUGAGACCUGCUGUGCCCCUCGGCCAGGCCAACCCAAAUUCUUUUAAAUAAAAGGCACAAGCCACAGCCACACCAGCAGGAAGUGGAUACAGGAUAAGGGGCAGGGCUCACAUCUCAUCCUCAUCAGCCUUUGACCAGGCGACGGAGUCUGUGAUAGCUAGCUUAUCUGCUCUAUGCUCCAGGGACCUGGCCGGAACGAGCCGAGUUGCUGUCCUCAUGGAACUCUCAUCCUAGUGGGGCAGAGACAAGGACGGUGUAACGUGCCCGGGGGUCAGCACCACAGACAAAACGCAGGGAGCACGGCACAGUGUGGGCCAGGGAAGGCCUGGCUUCCCAAGGGUGUGGGCGCGAGCAGCAUGGCUGUGGGGAGUUCUAGGUGCAGAGAACUACUCCAGAGACGAAGCCAGGCCUGCGAGGAGGCCGGAGCGCAUGAGGGGAAGGCACGAGGCAAGGCUGCCAGGGCUGUGCUGGUGGUGCGGGACGGUCCUGUGGGGGUAGCUGCGGAGAUGGCACUGAUGCCUUCGGCUCCAGCAGCAUCCUGGGCUGGUGCGGGCCAAUAAGGGGCAGGGUUGGGGCAGGAUGAAAGGCACAAGCCACAGCCAUGUCAAGCAGGAAGUGGAUGCAGGGUACAGCCUGUCAGGGUCAGGGUGAAAGGCAGGGAGGCGGGUAGGCCAUAGGUGAAUUUGGAGCAGCCUGUAGAGGACAGGAUGUGCCAUCAAAGACUUGUUCUUGGGUCCAGCUGAGACUGUCCCUUGGGGCUUCCUGUCACCUUGUGCAGGAUAGUGAGACCAUCCUUGGAAAACCCAUCGGGACUGCAGAGCGCGGCUCAGAGCUGACUGUCCAGGCCUGGCAGGGGCUGACCCCUGGGCGCUGGUGCACCCUCCGUGCGGCCUCUUGGAGGAAGCACACAAGGCGACAGUUCCCAGCUGCCGCCUGAGAUGCAGCAUCUGCUUUACUCCAGCCCAGCACUGCUCACCGUCACUGCCCACUCUUAUGAUUUUACUUCCCUUCAUAUUUGUGAUUUUGCAAAGAUGGUGUUGACUUACAGCUGCAGCAUCAAAUGACUGACUGCCACCAGCUUGGCCCCAGCUCAGGGACAUGUCUGAGCCCAGGCAGAGCACCCUAGUGGCCGGGAAGCCUCACCUGGAGCUCCUGCGGGUGGCUGCAGUCCGCCAGGUGAUCCGUGAGGAGGGCUUGGAGAGGCCCCAUGAUGGCGUGGAAGGAUGGCAGGGACCCGUACAUGAGCACGCAGCGCUUCAGCAGGGCCAGGCCCACAGCCAGGCAGGACAGUCUGUGAGGGCAGGAGGCAAGAGGAGGUCCAACUUGUUCUGUUUGUCACUGACAAAACCAAUAACGUGGCAAAAAUGAACUUCCCCACUUCCACUAGGCUGAAAACUCCAGUGUGGCCACCUUGGCCGGCCAGGGUUGGGC
rnacentral:lncRNA from 1 species